UGUAUCUACUAAUGUAUUUUCAUUUUUUUUUUUAUUAUUUCCUUAUAGAGGAAUAAUAUGUAAUAGUGUAUAAAAAGUCUGUUAAGACUGGGAAAGCUGUUAAAUGGGCUCAUUCAGACUGUCUAACCCAUUUGUUAUGAAUCUCUAGAGUAAACGAAACAAUGAGUUGUUACAUUUUUGUUGUGUAUAUUUUUUUUUUUUAAAUCUCCAUUUAUUUGUUACUUUAAAUCUCCUUAAAAAGGAAUAAUACACAAUUGUGUGUGGUCUAUUAAGAUAGACAAUUAUGCAAUCUUGGAUGUAGUCUUUUGAUAAGAUGUGUAUAUGGCAUGUCUUCCUGUGGUUGGGUAGAGGAGUAGCUAACCUUUGCCUUUCCUAGUCCUUCAGUGGACAGCAAUAUUGUUGGUAGACUUUCUUCAGUCUGUAUGGUUGGGGGUUACACCUGGUUGCUAAGUAAUUUAACUGUAGAGUUGUUUAUUUUGUGUAUAAUUUUUUCUUUUAUUGUAUUUAAUUCUUUCUUUGAUUUAUAAAUUACUUUUCUGUAUGCUAUACCUGAUGUUAUGCAAAAUCUAGUGAAAUUAGUGGGGGUGAGUGUAACGAGGUUAAAAUAGGUUGAUUUCACUAGAUUUUCUUGUUAUGCAUUCAGUGUUAUUCUAUAAUUGUUGAAACCAGUGUUUGUAAAAAUAAAUCUAAUAAAAGGGUCUGUAAGGAGGUAAUGGGUUCACCCCCCCCCCCCCUUUGUCAACGAAAUGGUUCAGUCCAGACAGCCAUACCUGCUGAUUGUUCUUUUAGCGGUCUUUUCCUGCUCUCUCCUGAACGGAAGAGUGUUACUGAUGUGAGCUGAAGCUGUUGUGACGACCUGUCUAUAUAAAAAUACAUUCUCUAUGCAG